rnacentral:rRNA from 1 species
GAUGAACGCUGGCGGCGUGCCUAAUACAUGCAAGUCGAGCGAACGGACGAGAAGCUUGCUUUUCUGAUGUUAGCGGCGGACGGGUGAGUAACACGUGGAUAACCUACCUAUAAGACUGGGAUAACUUCGGGAAACCGGAGCUAAUACCGGAUAAUAUUUUGAACCGCAUGGUUCAUAAGUGAAAGACGGUCUUGCUGUCACUUAUAGAUGGAUCCGCGCUGCAUUAGCUAGUUGGUAAGGUAACGGCUUACCAAGGCAACGAUGCAUAGCCGACCUGAGAGGGUGAUCGGCCACACUGGAACUGAGACACGGUCCAGACUCCUACGGGAGGCAGCAGUAGGGAAUCUUCCGCAAUGGGCGAAAGCCUGACGGAGCAACGCCGCGUGAGUGAUGAAGGUCUUCGGAUCGUAAAACUCUGUUAUUAGGGAAGAACAUAUGUGUAAGUAACUGUGCACAUCUUGACGGUACCUAAUCAGAAUGCCACGGCUAACUACGUG